GACGAACGCUGGCGGCGUGCCUAAUACAUGCAAGUCGAACGCUUCUUUCCUCCCGAGUGCUUGCACUCAAUUGGAAAGAGGAGUGGCGGACGGGUGAGUAACACGUGGGUAGCCUACCCAUCAGAGGGGGAUAACACUUGGAAACAGGUGCUAAUACCGCAUAACAGUUUAUGCCGCAUGGCAUAAGAGUGAAGGGCGCUUUCGGGUGUCGCUGAUGGAUGGACCCGCGGUGCAUUAGCUAGUUGGUGAGGUAACGGCUCACCAAGGCCACGAUUCAUAGGCGGACUGAGAGGGGGAUUCGGCACACCGGGACUUAGACACCGGCCAAACCCCUACGGGAGGGAGCAGGGGGGAAUUCUGCGGAAUGGGCGGAAGUCUGAACCAGCCAAGCCGCGGGAGGGAAGAAGGUGUUUGGAUUGGAAAACCUUUUUUGUUGGGAAGAAAAAGAGACGUUUGAAACCGAACGGCCCUGGCGGGACUUAAACAAGAAGCCCCGGCUAACUUCGGG
rnacentral:rRNA from 1 species